CCGAGUUUACAACUCCUAAACCCCUGUGAACAUACCACUUGUUGCCUCGGCGGAUCAGCCCGCUCCCGGUAAAACGGGACGGCCCGCCAGAGGACCCCUAAACUCUGUUUCUAUAUGUAACUUCUGAGUAAAACCAUAAAUAAAUCA
rnacentral:misc_RNA from 1 species